GGGCGAUUAGCUCAGCGGGAGAGCGCUUCCCUGACACGGAAGAGGCCACUGGUUCGAACCCAGUAUCGCCCACGA
rnacentral:tRNA from 1 species